ACCCCGCACAAGCGGUGGAUCAUGUUGUUUAAUUCGAUGAUACGCGAAGAACCUUACCUGGCCUUGACAUCCCGGGAAUUUCCUGGAAACAGGAGAAUGCUUUCAUUAGAGAGAACCUGGAGACAGGUGCUGCAUGGCUGUCGUCAGCUCGUGUCGUGAGAUGUUGGGUUAAGUCCCGCAACGAGCGCAACCCUUGCCUCUAGUUGCCAGCAGUUCGGCUGGGCACUCUAAAGGGACUGCCGGUGUCAAACCGGAGGAAGGUGGGGAUGACGUCAAGUCCUCAUGGCCUUUAUGGCCAGGGCUACACACGUACUACAAUGGCCGGUACAAAGGGCAGCGACAUUGCGAGAUGGAGCGAAUCCCGAAAAGCCGGUCUCAGUCCGGAUUGGAGUCUGCAACUCGACUCCAUGAAGUUGGAAUCGCUAGUAAUCGUGGAUCAGCAUGCCACGGUGAAUACGUUCCCGGGCCUU
rnacentral:rRNA from 1 species